rnacentral:ncRNA from 1 species
GAAAGCUGUAUACGGGAGAACCGUACGUGCAGUUUGACAAGAGGUCCCAGCCGUGAGGCUGGUCCUACUUUAUUUUUGUUUUUCUAAUCAUCUUAUUUUAGAUAGACUUUUGUAAGUUUUAUUUACUUACUUAAU